rnacentral:rRNA from 1 species
UCGACGGAGAUUAUCGCAGAGGCGAUUUCGGUCAAAUCAUGUAAAAUCUUAGUGGCGGACGGGUGAGUAACGCGUGGGUAACCUGCCUUACACUGGGGGAUAACACUUAGAAAUAGGUGCUAAUACCGCAUAAGCGCACGAAGCCGCAUGGAUUUGUGUGAAAAACUCCGGUGGUGUAAGAUGGACCCGCGUCUGAUUAGCUUGUUGGCGGGGUAACGGCCCACCAAGGCGACGAUCAGUAGCCGGCCUGAGAGGGUGGACGGCCACAUUGGGACUGAGACACGGCCCAAACUCCUACGGGAGGCAGCAGUGGGGGAUAUUGGACAACGGGGGGAACCCUGAUCCAGCGACGCCGCGUGAGUGAAGAAGUAUUUCGGUAUGUAAAGCUCUGUCAGCAGGGAAGAAAGAAAUGACGGUACCUGACCAAGAAGCCCCGGCUAACUACGUGCCAGCAGCCGCGGUAAUACGUAGGGGGCAAGCGUUAUCCGGAAUUACUGGGUGUAAAGGGAGCGUAGACGGCGAUGCAAGUCUGAAGUGAAAGCCCGGGGCUCAACCCCGGGACUGCUUUGGAAACUGUAUGGCUGGAGUGCUGGAGAGGCAAGCGGAAUUCCUAGUGUAGCGGUGAAAUGCGUAGAUAUUAGGAAGAACACCAGUGGCGAAGGCGGCUUGCUGGACAGUAACUGACGUUGAGGCUCGAAAGCGUGGGGAGCAAACAGGAUUAGAUACCCUGGUAGUCCACGCCGUAAACGAUGAUUACUAGGUGUCGGGGGACCAAGGUCCUCCGGUGCCGGCGCAAACGCAUUAAGUAAUC